rnacentral:lncRNA from 1 species
UUUAGAAUGAGGAGCCCCAGACUUUGGAUAAGAACAAGAAAAUCUGUCUUCUAAAGAGAAAGGUGUUAAGCCACAGCUGAGGAUGACAGACUUUUCCCAUGAAAUCACUGCAUUGCACUAUGCAUUAAGCGCUGUACCUCUACCCCAGUGCCUGGUACAAUUUAUGCUGCAUUUAAUCAGCGGUGCCUGCGAGAUCGUCUUUGUUCCUUUACAAUACUGGCAAGAAAAUAUUUCAGAACUACAAUAGCCUACCAGUGAUAUUGACUUUGAAUUGAGUCUAGUUUCUCUGUGCAUUUGAAAUAACAAUGAGGUCAUUAACUGUGAGGUUGGUAUUGGGCUAAGCAAACUGACUAAGAAGUGGUUACAGAGAAUACAAAAACCGUCUCCUAAGCAAGAGAAUACUUCAGAUGUGUGAGGAAAAGAGUUUUGGCUUUCAAAGUGGCUGUAUAGACAAUCAUUCUUUUAAGACACUUGACUGAAAAGUUGUUUAUUUGAUCUCACAUGAAGAUGGAAAAUCUCUCAGCACAGAAUCCUGAGCCAUUAGGAGAUUUGGAUUAGGAAGGAAUCAUUUCUGUUCUGAGAGUAAGGGAAUACUGCAGCUGAGAUUUUUAUUCUACAAAGAUAUAUAAAGGGCUAGCAGCAGAACAUUGUGCUGCUGCAUUGGCAAGAUGACAAGAUUUGAAAGUGGCAGAUUUUAAAUAAAUAGGUGGAAACACAAUUACUCA